rnacentral:rRNA from 1 species
UACGUAGGGGGCAAGCGUUGUCCGGAAUCAUUGGGCGUAAAGCGCGUGUAGGCGGCUCGGUAAGUCUGCUGUGAAAGUCCAGGGCUCAACCCUGGGAUGCCGGUGGAUACUGUCGAGCUCGAGUCCGGAAGAGGCGAGUGGAAUUCCUGGUGUAGCGGUGAAAUGCGCAGAUAUCGGAAGGAACACCAGUGGCGAAAGCGGCUUCCUGGUCCAGCACCGACGUUCAGGCACGAAAGCGUGGGGAGCAAACAGG